CCUACGGGCGGCUGCAGUGGGGAAUAUUGCACAAUGGGCGCAAGCCUGAUGCAGCCAUGCCGCGUGUGUGAAGAAGGCCUUCGGGUUGUAAAGCACUUUCAGCGGGGAGGAAGGCGUUAAGGUUAAUAACCUUGGCGAUUGACGUUACCCGCAGAAGAAGCACCGGCUAACUCCGUGCCAGCAGCCGCGGUAAUACGGAGGGUGCAAGCGUUAAUCGGAAUUACUGGGCGUAAAGCGCACGCAGGCGGUCUGUCAAGUCGGAUGUGAAAUCCCCGGGCUCAACCUGGGAACUGCAUUCGAAACUGGCAGGCUAGAGUCUUGUAGAGGGGGGUAGAAUUCCAGGUGUAGCGGUGAAAUGCGUAGAGAUCUGGAGGAAUACCGGUGGCGAAGGCGGCUCUCUGGCCUGUAACUGACGCUGAGGCGCGAAAGCGUGGGGAGCGAACAGGAUUAGAUACCCCGGUAGUC
rnacentral:rRNA from 1 species